rnacentral:misc_RNA from 1 species
AACGCACAUUGCGCCUUUUGGUAUUCCACAAGGCAUGCCUGUUUGAGCGUCAUUUCUCUCUCAAACCCUUGGGUUUGGUAUUGAGUGAUACUCUUAGUCAUAAGCGUUUGCUUGAAAAGUAUCGGCAAGGGUGCGCUAGAUAGUGCUAACUGAUUAUUCAAUGUAUUAGGUUUAUCCAACUCGUUGAACUGUCGGUGGUAAAUUUCUGGCGACGGCUCGGCCUUACAACAACAAACAAGUUUGACCUCAAAUCAGGUAAGAAUACCCGCUGAACUUAA